rnacentral:rRNA from 1 species
AGGACGAACGCUGGCGGCGUGCUUAACACAUGCAAGUCGAGCGGAAAGGCCCUUCGGGGUACUCGAGCGGCGAACGGGUGAGUAACACGUGAGUAACCUGCCCCAUGCUUUGGGAUAACCCUCGGAAACGGGGGCUAAUACCGAAUAUUCACUGUCUGCCGCAUGGUGGAGGGUGGAAAGUUUUUCGGCGUGGGAUGGGCUCGCGGCCUAUCAGCUUGUUGGUGGGGUAAUGGCCUACCAAGGCGAGGACGGGUA